rnacentral:rRNA from 1 species
AGACCCGAAACCCGGUGAUCUAGCCAUGGGCAGGUUGAAGGUUGGGUAACACUAACUGGAGGACCGAACCGACUAAUGUUGAAAAAUUAGCGGAUGACCUGUGGCUGGGGGUGAAAGGCCAAUCAAACCGGGAGAUAGCUGGUUCUCCCCGAAAGCUAUUUAGGUAGCGCCUCGUGAAUUCAUCUCCGGGGGUAGAGCACUGUUUCGGCUAGGGGGCCAUCCCGGCUUACCAACCCGAUGCAAACUGCGAAUACCGGAGAAUGUUAUCACGGGAGACACACGGCGGGUGCUAACGUCCGUCGUGAAGAGGGAAACAACCCAGACCGCCAGCUAAGGUCCCAAAGUCAUGGUUAAGUGGGAAACGAUGUGGGAAGGCCCAGACAGCCAGGAUGUUGGCUUAGAAGCAGCCAUCAUUUAAAGAAAGCGUAAUAGCUCACUGGUCGAGUCGGCCUGCGCGGAAGAUGUAACGGGGCUAAACCAUGCACCGAAGCUGCGGCAGCGAACGUAUCACUUAAAGCGAUUCAGCGGGUUACGAUUGACGGAGCGAAGCGACGUCAAAGCGUAUACAAAGUCGAGUCGGUUUAAGGAUACGUUCGUUGGGUAGGGGAGCGUUCUGUAAGCCUGUGAAGGUGUGUCGUGAGGCAUGCUGGAGGUAUCAGAAGUGCGAAUGCUGACAUAAGUAACGAUAAAGCGGGUGAAAAGCCCGCUCGCCGGAAGACCAAGGGUUCCUGUCCAACGUUAAUCGGGGCAGGGUGAGUCGACCCCUAAGGCGAGGCCGAAAGGCGUAGUCGAUGGGAAACGGGUUAAUAUUCCCGUACUUGGUGUUACUGCGAAGGGGGGACGGAGAAGGCUAUGUUGGCCGGGCGACGGUUGUCCCGGUUUAAGCGUGUAGGCUGGUUUUCCAGGCAAAUCCGGAAAAUCA